GAUGCCAGCGCUGUCUGCUCAGCUCACCACUUCCAGCCUCUCGGUACCAGUGAGCCCCCUUGGACCCCCACGCCGUCGCCCACCAUCACCCAGGCACUCGUUACAGCAUGAGCCCCCAUCGUGCGGCUGGUGGGGGCGGCGGGGCGCUGCGCCGGCCGGCUGGAGGUCUUCCAUGCUGGGCACUGGGGCACCGUUUGUGA